rnacentral:rRNA from 1 species
AGUGAACGCUGGCGGCGUGCUUAACACAUGCAAGUCGAACGAGUACGGGAUAUAGCUUGCUAAAUCUGUCAGCUAAGUGGCGCACGGGUGAGUAAUGUAUUGAUAACCUGCCCUCUAGAAAGGAAUAACAGUUGGAAACGACUGCUAAUGCCCUAUAUGCCUUUAAUACAUAAGUAUGCAAGGGAAACGCUUUAGUGCUAGAGGAUGGGUCUGUAUGGUAUCAGCUUGUUGGUGAGGUAAUGGCUCACCAAGGCUAUGACGCCUAACAGGUUUGAGAGGAUGAUCAGUCACACUGGAACUGAGACACGGUCCAGACUCCUACGGGAGGCAGCAGUGGGGAAUAUUGCACAAUGGACGAAAGUCUGAUGCAGCAACGCCGCGUGGAGGAUGACACAUUUCGGUGCGUAAACUCCUUUUAUAUAGGAAGAUAAUGACGGUACUAUAUGAAUAAGCACCGGCAAACUCCGUGCCAGCCGCCGCCGUAA